ACACAUGCAAGUCGAGGGGCAGCAUAAUGGAUAGCAAUAUCUAUGGUGGCGACCGGCGCACGGGUGCGUAACGCGUAUGCAACCUACCUUUAACAGGGGGAUAACACUGAGAAAUUGGUACUAAUACCCCAUAAUAUCAUAGAAGGCAUCUUUUAUGGUUGAAAAUUCCGAUGGUUAGAGAUGGGCAUGCGUUGUAUUAGCUAGUUGGUGGGGUAACGGCUCACCAAGGCGACGAUACAUAGGGGGACUGAGAGGUUAACCCCCCACACUGGUACUGAGACACGGACCAGACUCCUACGGGAGGCAGCAGUGAGGAAUAUUGGUCAAUGGACGCAAGUCUGAACCAGCCAUGCCGCGUGCAGGAUGACGGCUCUAUGAGUUGUAAACUGCUUUUGUACGAGGGUAAACGCAGAUACGUGUAUCUGUCUGAAAGUAUCGUACGAAUAAGGAUCGGCUAACUCCGUGCCAGCAGCCGCGGUAAUACGGAGGAUUCAAGCGUUAUCCGGAUUUAUUGGGUUUAAAGGGUGCGUAGGCGGUUUGAUAAGUUAGAGGUGAAAUUUCGGGGCUCAACCCUGAACGUGCCUCUAAUACUGUUGAGCUAGAGAGUAGUUGCGGUAGGCGGAAUGUAUGGUGUAGCGGUGAAAUGCUUAGAGAUCAUACAGAACACCGAUUGCGAAGGCGGCUUACCAAACUAUAUCUGACGUUGAGGCACGAAAGCGUGGGGAGCAAACAGGAUUAGAUACCCUGGUAGUCCACGCAGUAAACGAUGAUAACUCGUUGUCGGCGAUACACAGUCGGUGACUAAGCGAAAGCGAUAAGUUAUCCACCUGGGGAGUACGUUCGCAAGAAUGAAACUCAAAGGAAUUGACGGGGGCCCGCACAAGCGGAGGAACAUGUGGUUUAAUUCGAUGAUACGCGAGGAACCUUACCC
rnacentral:rRNA from 1 species